AGAGUUUGAUCCUGGCUCAGGAUGAACGCUGGCGGCGUGCUUAACACAUGCAAGUCGAGCGAAGCAAUUUAAGUGAAGUUUUCGGAUGGAUCUUAGAUUGACUGAGCGGCGGACGGGUGAGUAACGCGUGGAUAACCUGCCUCACACAGGGGGAUAACAGUUAGAAAUGACUGCUAAUACCGCAUAAGCGCACGGUACCGCAUGGUACAGUGUGAAAAACUCCGGUGGUGUGAGAUGGAUCCGCGUCUGAUUAGGUAGUUGGUGAGGUAACGGCCCACCAAGCCGACGAUCAGUAGCCGACCUGAGAGGGUGACCGGCCACAUUGGGACUGAGACACGGCCCAAACUCCUACGGGAGGCAGCAGUGGGGAAUAUUGCACAAUGGGGGAAACCCUGAUGCAGCGACGCCGCGUGAGUGAAGAAGUAUUUCGGUAUGUAAAGCUCUAUCAGCAGGGAAGAAAAUGACGGUACCUGACUAAGAAGCCCCGGCUAACUACGUGCCAGCAGCCGCGGUAAUACGUAGGGGGCAAGCGUUAUCCGGAUUUACUGGGUGUAAAGGGAGCGUAGACGGCAAGGCAAGUCUGAUGUGAAAACCCAGGGCUUAACCCUGGGACUGCAUUGGAAACUGUCUGGCUCGAGUGCCGGAGAGGUAAGCGGAAUUCCUAGUGUAGCGGUGAAAUGCGUAGAUAUUAGGAAGAACACCAGUGGCGAAGGCGGCUUGCUGGACAGUAACUGACGUUCAGGCUCGAAAGCGUGGGGAGCAAACAGGAUUAGAUACCCUGGUAGUCCACGC
rnacentral:rRNA from 1 species